GAUUUCUGGUAUGAUGCAUUUGACCCGUCUCGGUUACGAGUUUGUGUGUCGUUUUGCGUCUGCCAUCUUUCUGGGGAACGGCUCUUCCUUCACUGGCUAGGGUCGGGAUCCAGAUCAUUUACUUUGAAAAAAUUAGAGUGUUUAAAGCAGGCUUGUUGCUAUGAAUACAUUAGCAUGGAAUAAUAAUUUAGGACUUUGGUCUUAUUUUGUUGGUUUCUAGGACUAAAGUAAUGAUUGAUAGGGAUAGUUGGGGGUGCUAGUAUUCAGCGGCCAGAGGUGAAAUUCUUGGAUUCGCUGAAGACUAACUUAUGCGAAAGCAUU
rnacentral:rRNA from 1 species